CCCGAAUGAAGAAUAAAAACUGUUUCGCGCAUGUCACGUGAUGGUGUGCCAACCACGUUAACUUUUUGGUCCUUCCGAAUUAUCCAGGCGGGGAACAAUAGUUUCAUAUAAAUACAUAGCAAAUUAAAUCGUGUGACUGAAAAGAGGUCGGAAAAUGUUUUGCUGGCGUCUUUAACGGAUUUGUUUAGUAAAGUUUUUUGGUGAGAAUCAAUCAGUGGUUAAACAUACAAGAUUGUCCCCGAGCGCUCAAGAUUCAUGGUCGAGUGAUUUUCCAUGCACUUUACUGUUAGCUACAUUUGCGUGAAGUUUGUGAGAGGGACGUGACGGAAACAAAAGUAUGGCAGAUUUGGAAUUGUUUCUUUUAUUUUAGGACGUCGAAGAACUUAGUAUCAAUCAAAAAUGUAAGUUAUUUUAUAUUUUAUUAAUAAAAACUAUAUAGCCGAAACGUAAUAUUAUUACACAUGAAAAUCGGGAAAGCGUUACUGUUUUUUUUUUAGGAAAAAAUGUAAAUAUUUCACAGAAAAUUCGGGAAAUGUUAUAUUGUAUCACAUAAAAUUUGUAAAUUAUCAAAUAUUUUUCGUAGGUACAAUUUGUUUGACACAAAGUUAAAUUUUCCAUGAAUAUGGACUUUAAUUAUAAAUUAGCAUUAAUCAUAAGGAUUAUACAUGUUAAACUUUUAAUUUUUCAUGUGACGUUUCGAUCAUAGUUAUUUUUGACCAUUAUGAUAAUUGGCUUAUGAUAUAAAACAAAAUACAGAUAUGAAUAAUUGAUAGUUGGCAUAUGAGGUCUAACAAAGUAUUGACACGGAUGAUUGACGUGUGAUAUGUAAAAAUGAUGGCCAUGUUGAUGACAAUGUUGUUUUGAUGAGGACGUCCAUGGGUGUUACAGUGAUGAUGGAAUGACGUUGUUCAAGUGAGCAUCAGCAGACGUAAAGCAGGAAAUGGCGGGAAGAAUCCUAGCAGACGACAGUUGUCGCGCAGAUGCAAUCAUGCACCAUAUCAGACUGCCCGAAAUUACAGGCUGGCCGACACGCUUUCAGCAUGUUAGGGUUUUGAAAAAGGAAAUCAUUACUUUGUAACGUAUGUCUUGUCUACUUUUUGAAAAAUAAACUUUCGUGUCAAUGUAAUAAUUAUGUUGACGAACCAUUUUUAGCCCAACUGUUUGAAAAACGAGUAAGGGCUAUUUUAAUCACUUGGUCGUCUGUUCUCGUAAAACACUUCGUUUUGCAUAUGUUUCGUGUGUAACUUCCUACCUCAGAAUUCAUUAUGAUUGUGUAACGGGGAACAUAAUCUAAACACCUUUAACUUUAAACUAGAUUUUGAUUUAUAUAAGUUCAUGUAUGCCACUUAGUCAACUUGAUUUAAAGCAGUCAUGUUUAAAAUAAUAAUUUAAGUUUACAAUAUAUUCUUAUCAAAUGAGCAUAAUAAUGCUGAGUUAUGGGUCAUUAAGAACAUUUCAGUAAUUUAAACAAAUAACUUACAAUUAUUUUUAAAAUGCUAAAAAAAUGUAACAUUUGUUUGACCAUGUUACCAAUAGUGUAUCCACAGGUAGCAGACGACAAUAAAUUUUAAAGUGGAAAUUUGCGACUUCCGGUGUGUCUGCUACUCGAUGUUGUGAUCUCAGUUUCUUCCCCUGACGUUCAGUAUAUGAAAUGAGGGUCGAGGAUUUGAAAUUAAAAAAGAACGAAAGAUAUGAAAUGAGCACCGGCAAACUGAUCUUGGCAUGUUACAUCCUUGUCACAGAUCUGGAACCUACUGAUUAUGAUGAGAAAUACGGAACAUGGUAAAUUGAGCAGGUGAAGGAAUGAAGAAAACACCACCCCCUUUACAGUCAGCAAAAUAACUAUGCUUUGUUACGGUUUGGAACUACUGCAUGCGGUUACAACUUAUGUGACAAAGAGAUUUUAAUCCACCUGAAACGAUUUGGUAUCUUUCUGAAAAUGUCAUGUUCAACUUCUGAAUGGUGUUUUUUCUGCCAAGUUUAAGAAAUAUAUUACCAUGUAACUGUCUAAUAUUUAUGGCAAUUAUGAAGUAAUAGUGAGUUUUUGGCGUAGUAAUAAAAACCAUAGAAGGUGUUAGCUCGAUUGGAUUUUCUACAUGAGCUUGAAAUAAUAACACCUUCAUAAAUGCCUUGAUGUGAACAGAAUAGAAGGGAUAUUUUAUUUGCUUUUUACAUUGUACAUCUUCUAUUUAACAUACUGUACCGUCAAUAAAUUGAAAUGGCAAUAAUGAGUAUAAUUGCAAUAAUGAAUGAUGCACUUUUUCGCAAUGUAUAUUUCAAGUGGUGUAAUAAGUAAAAUUUGAUCAGGAAUGUACAUUUAUCAAGACUUAAUAUAUAUGCAAACAUACUGUACCGUUAACAUAAUGGCAAUAGUAAAAUUGCAGAAAUGAAUGAUGCGCAUUUUUUACAAUGUAUAUUUCAAGAAGUGUAAUAACUAACAUUUAAUAGUUAAUAAAGACAUACUAGGCCGUACAAUGAGAAAUAAUGAUAAUUUAACAACGUCAUGAUAGAAACAUCCAUUUGAAAUUUCUUAAGAUUUAGAUAAUAAUAACACCACCAAGAAUAUCACCACUACCACCAAAAACAACAUUAAUGAAACAUAAUGAAAACUCCAACGAUGAAAUAUUUCAUCAUUUAAAAACAUGCAAUGAUGAAAAAAUUAAAUAAAAUAUUAAAAUAAUUGUAAUCACGACCAGAAGAACAAUAAUGAAAUAAAGUAAUGAAAUAACAAUAUGAGUGAAAUAAAAUAAAAACAAUAAAAUGAAAUGAAAUGAACAAUAAUGAAAUAAAAUGAAAACAAAAAUAAUGAAAUAAGAUAAAAUAAAAACAAUAAAAUAAAAGCAAACAAAAAAUGAAAAUAAAAAAUUGAAAUAAGGUAACAAGAAAUGGAAUGAAAGAAUAUUAUUGUCAUAAGUGACCAUUUAGUUGUUUACCUAUAACAUGCUUGACCUUAAAGUGACCAGCCUUUGCCACCAGUAUGCAGCCAGGCCAACCUGUACGUCCAUGCAGAUUGACCAGGCUCUAAACCGUUGGCUGACCAAUUUCAAAUUUGAUUUUAUUCAAGUUUUAUUCCCUAAAUUGAGAAUGAACGUAUUCAGAAACGGAAGCUGGACAAGUCCGCUUCCGAUAAUAUUAUCAACCAUAUACAUGAUAUAAUGUGUUCCUUUAUAUUUUGAAGUAUCAUUUGUUUCAUUUUUUAUCUUUUAAAUGCUUUAAAUAAGGAGUCACAAAGGGUUACUUUAUCAUUUUCAUUUCCAAGCAUAUCCUCGUGCGUUUCAUCGCCGGAUAGCCACUGAUAAACACUGCCUAUCUUGAUUACAUGUUAAUCAACCGUGAGUAUCCGACGAUGCAUGCGUUUAUGCUUGUUUUUUGUUUUGUUUUGUUGUUGAUUUUUUUAUUGUUGUUUUCAGUUUUUAUAUGAUCUGACAAAAAGUUAAAAAAGAUGGUGGGGCUAGCAUCAUUUAGCUUUUUUUGUUCGCCGUUGAUACGUUAUUCUAUCAAUUUUUUAACUUUACUUGCCUGUUUUAAUUUUUUAAAGUUUUUUUUUUUAAUUAAUUAAUUAAUUAAUUAAUUUAUUUAUUUAUUUAUUUACUUAUCUUUAUUUAUUUAUUUAUUUAUUUAUUGUUUUGCAAAUUACAUCAAGCGAAAAGGGAGGCUACUUGUUUUAAAAUACAGAUUGAUCUCCCCUGAAAAUUCAAAUGAUAAGAACGGACCAAAGGAGACUUCUCUUCAUUAAAACAAGUAUAAAAUGAUAAAAAAAGUCGUUUUCCCGUCAGUUUACACUCCAUUACCACUUGUUAUUUUUUUCUAACUGAUAACUCUCACACAUCUUCGGCACUAACAUUAACUUUUGGGGAAAAUGACUUUAAUAAUGCUACUGUAAAACUUCCAACAAAUAUCAAUCAAAAGUAAUAACAUUUGGUUGUGAAAAUUUAGCCGCAAAAGGCAUAAUGUUUAAUUAUCAAUAGGGAGAGAAGUCGCCUUUUGGUCCAAUUUUCAGGGGUGGUUACACCGUUACUUAAUUAAGAAUGGUCUCCCUUUGGUCAUACUUGCUUUUACAAAUUCUUCUGCAAUAUUAAAUUUAACAUCAAAAACAAUUUAAAGGAACACACUAUAGUCAAAAUUGGAUACUUCCUUUUUUACAAGUAUACAGAAACUUGAAAUAUUUCAACAAAUUUUAGGGUAGAUUUAAUGCUUUGAUUAGAAUCUUUUCACUUAGUACAUAUAAAAAUAUGAAAAUACUAUAGACCUAGUAUCUUUACUUAUAGAAUCACGUUUUUUUUCAAGUAUUAUUUAAAAUAGUUGGCUAUAAUUUGUGUCACGGGUAAACAGAGGGUAAACCAUCAAAAUUUUGUAUACUAGUUUAUAUAUAUCUGGAAUAUUUUAAAGAACAACAUUUGACAUUUUAAAUCUGUCUUGUAUCUUGGAAACUUCUUUGCGUUUGUAAAUAUUUCUUUAAACAGAAUUAGUUUGAGCCUGGAACAAUACUUGAAAUAUCUUGACUUAGUUUGAGUUUGAAUCAAUAUUUGAAAUAUUUUAACUUAGCUUGUGUCUGGAACAACACUUGAACUAUCUUAACUUAGUUUAAGUCUUGAACAAUACUUGAAAUAUCUUAACUAAGUUUGAGUCUUGAACAAUACUUGAAACAUCUUUACUGAGUUUGAGUUUGAAACAACACUUGGAAUUUCUUAACUUAGCUUGUGUCUAGAAGAAUAUUUGAAACAUCUUAACUGGGUUUGAGCUUGGAACAAUACUUGAAAUAUCUUAACUGAGUCUGAGUCUGGGACAAAACUUGAAAUAUCUUGACUUAGUUUGAGUCUGAAUCAAUAUUUGAAAUAUUUUAACUUAGCUUGUGUCUGGAACAACACUUGAACUAUCUUAACUUAGUUUGAGUCUUGAACAAUACUUGAAAUAUCUUAACUAAGUUUGAGUCUUGAAGAAUACUUGAAACAUCUUAACUGACUUUGAGCUUUGAACAAUACUUGAAAUAUCUUAACUGAGUUUGAGUCUGGGACAAUACUUGAAAUAUCUUGACUUAGUUUGAGUCUGAAUCAAUAUUUGAAAUAUCUUAACUUAGCUUGUGUCUGGAACAACACUUGAACUAUCUUAACUUAGUUUGAGUCUUGAACAAUACUUGAAAUAUCUUAACUAAGUUUGAGUCUUGAACAAUACUUGAAAUUUCUUAACUUAGCUUGUGUCUGGAAGAAUAUUUGAAACAUCUUAACUGGGUUUGAGCUUGGAACAAUACUUGAAAUAUCUUAACUGAGUCUAAGUCUGGGACAAAACUUGAAAUAUUUUUACUAAGCUUGAGUCUGGAACAAUACUUGAAAUAUUUUAACUGAGUUUGAGUCUGGAACAACAAUUGAAAUGUCUUAACUUAGCUUGUGUCUGGAACAACACUUGAAAUAUCUUUACUUAAUUUGAGUCUUAACUUAGUUUGAGUCUGAAACAAUAAUUGAAAUAUCUAAAAUUAGCUUAAGUAUGGAAAAAUACUUGAAAUAUCUUAUCAAAGCUUGAGUCUUGAACAAUAAUUUAAAUAUCUUAACUUAGUUUGAGUCUGGAAAAAUACUUGAAAUAUCCUCACUUAGUUUGAGCCUGGAACAAUACUUGAAAUAUCUUGACUUAGUUUUAGUCUGAAUCAAUAUUUGAAAUACUUUAACUUAGCUUGUGUCUGGAACACUUGAACUAUCUUAACUUAGUUUGAGUCUUGAACAAUACUUGAAAUAUCUUAACUAAGCUUGAGUCUGGAACAAUACUUGAAAUAUUUUAACUGAGUUUGAGUCUGGAACAACAAUUGAAAUUACUUAACUUAGCUUGUGUCUGGAACAACACUUGAAAUAUCUUUACUUAAUUUGAGUCUUAACUUAGUUUAAGUCUGGAAUAAUAAUUGAAAAAUCUAAACUUAGUUUGAGCCUGGAACAACACUUGAAAUAUCUUAACUAAAUUUGAGUCUUGAAGAAUACUUGAAACAUCUUAACUGAGUUUGAGUCUGGGACAACACUUGAAAUAUCUUAACUUAGCUCUGAACAAUACUUGAAAUAUUUUAAUUGAGUUUGAGUCUGGAACAACACUUGAAAUUUCUUAACUAACCUUGUGUCUGGAACAACACUUGAAAUAUCUUUACUUAAUUUGAGUUUUAACUUAGUUUGAGUCUGGAAUAAUAAUUGAAAUAUCUAAACUUAAUUUGAGUCUGGAACAACACUAGAAAUAUCUUAACUAAGUCUGAGUCUGGAACCAUACUUGGAAUAUCUUUACUUAGUUUGAGUCUUGAAGAAUACUUGAAACAUCUUAACGUAGUUUGAGUCUAGAAGAAUAUUUGAAAUUUUUUAACUUUGUUUGAGUCUGGAAACAAAUUUCAAAAACUUAUUUUGAGUCUGGGACAAUACUUGAAACAGCUUAACUUAGUUUGUGUCUGGAACAAUACUUAAAAUAUCUUACCCUAGUUUCAGUCUGGAACAUUAAUUGAACUAGCUUAACCUAAUUUGAGUCUUGAAAAACACUUGAAGUAUCUUAACUUAGUUUGAGUCUGGAACCACACUUGAAAUAUCUUAACUUGGUUUGAGUCUUGAAUAAUACUUGAAACAUCUUAUCUUAGUUUGAGUCUUUGAGAAUACUUGAAAUAUCAUAACUUUACUUAGUUUGAUUUUUGAACAAUAAUUUAUAUAUCUUAGUUUGAGUCUGGAACAAUACUUGAAAUAUCAUAACUGAGUUUGAGUCUGGAACAAUACUUGAAAUAUCUUUACUUAGUUUGAAUCUUGAAGAAUAGUUGAAACAUCAUACCUCAGUUUGAGUCUGGAACAAUACUUGAAACAUCUUAACUUAGUUUAAGUUUUGAAUACCUGCAUUUACUAAUGAAGUGCAAGAAAGAUCUGGUUUACAUGUACUUUAAACAUGCUAUGCUAAAAUCAUAAUUCAUAAGAGCUUUCCGCGCCAUAGGUAGCACCUAACUUCAUAUUAAAGAUUGUAUGCAGUUGAUUGAUAUCAUUGAUUUUGUAAACAAAAACAAUUACAUGUAUUUUUGUAUGCAAAUUAUUUUGAAAAACGAUAAAAUAGUACUGGAAUUAAAAAGGAUUUUUCUGAACGUGUUAAGUUAUCUUUCCUCAAUCUUUAUUAAUAAGAUAUUAUAUGAUAUAAUAUUUGUCAGAUAGAGUAACCUCCCCCGAAAAAUACAAAUUCUGUUAGGGGCUGGUAA